UCCUUCCUGACUCUCUCCCCAUCCCUCUUCCCGCCUCUUUUGUUUGCUUGCUUCUUUUGAGUCAACGUCUCACUUUGCAGUCCUGGCUUGCCUCAGAUUCUCUGCUAUCCUUUUGCCUCAGCCUCUGGAGUGCUGGCACACUAGACCUCCAUUGUGCCCACCCUGAGUGCCACCCUUUGAGACACCGCUGUUGCAACAUGGUGGAGGAUCUCCCUGGAGCCAGCCUCUAGCUGAAUACCUACAGUCUCGGGAGCUUGCAGCUUUUAGCUCCCACCCAUCCUUUAGUGCAGUGUUGGCUGCAGAUGCCCACCUUGGAAGCAGAACUCCGUCUGCUGGCAGUUCUGGGAAGGCAACAGGACUCCUAUCUUGGGAACGUGAACUCUAGCAUCCGGCUAUCUGGGCUUAAAAUCCCUUCCUUCCUGGCUAUGUGAAUUUGGAUGAAUCCCUUCUCACAGUCUAGAUUCCCUCACCUGUGAAAUGGGAACCAGUAGCUUUCUCCUCGAGGGAUUUUGUGAGAACCAGCAGGCUUGACAUAAAGCAGAGGAGGCGGGAAGCACAGAGGCUUUUUCUAUUGAGUGCCGUGGAUACGUUUACAAGUUCUAGAAUCCAACAGACUGACUCUAAAGCCUGUCUUUGUGAUUCCCCACCUUUGCAAUCUUGGGCAAACGGUUACAUAUUUCAAAAUACUACUCACAAUGAUCAUACCUGUCUGCUGGCAUUUGGGAGCGGUAGCAGAUGACAAAAUGCAUGAGCAUCGCCUGUCAGAUAGCACACCUGAUAACCACGAGCCGCCGCCUGGCCUGCCGCCGUCAUCAUUCACAUUGCAUUUGGUAGACAACACAUCUGGAAGAUUGACCCAUCUGUUUACUUCGUCCAAAUGUUUUGGUGUCAUGAAGAUAAAGCCACAGAGAUGUAACUGCCAGGGCCCGGUUCCCAGAAGGCCAUAAAACAUGGGUGAUCCUGCUGGGCCCCGAAUGCCACAAUCCAGCAAAGUGCUCCUCGUACUCAACACAUGGUGAUUUUUUACAAAAUCGCUGAACUAGCCAUGUUCUCUGUAUUGAUCAAUAAAUUACUUUGAUGAAAACUCAA